rnacentral:lncRNA from 1 species
AUUACAGUAAGUUUGAUGACUUGUCUUUUACAUUUCAAUCAGUUAGAAACAUCUUCUGUUUGGUUUUAGCUCUCUGAUUUACUUUUCUUUGGGUGCAUUUUAGGUAUUUGAAGUCAAUGGCAAAAUGUUGCUGAGAAAUAUAAACAACUUAAGUUAAUGAUGACAUAAUUUUAAUAUAUCGAAAUGAUUCCAGCACUAAAUUCCAUAAUGUUUGGAAGUUAUUUCUAAAGUAAAUUUGGUGAUAAUAGGUAUCUAAUAAUCUCUUUUUAUUAUUUAAAAUGAGAUAUUGAUUAGUGGCAUUCUCCAUACCUUAGACACUGUUAAAGCAAAAGUAGGUAGGGUAUAUUUUUCUUUCAAAAAAGUAAAUAUAUGGAAUUUGCAUUCAGAAAUUUGAUCAGUUCAAUUUAUUUGAGCCCUGUACUUAUCACUGUCUUGCUCAAGAUGAAUAAGAAUGAAAAGAAUUACAGUAGUUGUCUUUCUCAAUAGUGUUUUGCUGGUUCACACACACACACGCACUCACACUCACACUCACACUCAGACACAUCAUAAAGCUGACCUUUUGCUAUUUUGUUUCGCUAUCAAAGCUGUACUGGUCUGACCUCUCAUGUUAUUGUGUGAGUUACAGGUUUUUAAAAUCCUUAGGAGCCUUUUAGAGGAACAUGUAUAAAAUGAUAAACGCUUAGGUUUUAUUACAAGAUGAAUUGUUGAACAAAUUGUUGAUGUUUAAUUGGAAAAACAUAGCUCCCAUAACAACAAGUUCUUACGGUUAUUUGAAAGCAUAAUACAUUGCUUUAAAUGUAGAUCAGUGGUCAACAAAUAGGUUUUAACUCACAAAAACACCCUUUCUUAAUUAUGUUGUCUCUUUAGGGGCAUAGAGCUCCCCUAAAUAAGUUUUGUAUUUACUGAAAACAUUUCACUGGGAAAGCGUCAGUGGCUUGAGAGAGUAGAUAUGGGAUAGUGUCUUUUCAAGGGUCUCAAAACCUGCCAUUUUAAACGUGAGUUUAUUGUAGUUCAUGUUCUUUAUAUUCUUCGGUAAGUCAGGUUCAAGAAUCUCUUGAAGUAUUCUGCCUUUCAUAUAUUUUGUUUCUGAAAUAAAGUGGAUGUUUAGCUUUCGUUAAGCUGGUUUUUAAAUUGUGUCCUACACCCAGCCACAGGUGGUGUAAAGUCUCAGCGCACCAGUAAUGCAGUGUUUACCUCACAUACGUUUGUGUUCCUUUGUCAGGAGAGAAGUGUAUUUGGGUUUCCCCUGUAGUGAGGAAUAGGAAAGUACUGUGUAAUCAAAUUUGUACUGAAAUGUUUACUAGGUGAUGACAGUGGGCUACAUUUUAACGUAUUCUUGUAAUUUAACUUUUUCUACUAAUCUGGAUUAAACUUUUUAUAGUUUUGUAUUGUUUUGAACCACAAAGAUUUAGAAUUCUCCACCUUCAUUAAUGAUUAUUUGUUGUUCAGGAAGGGUCUCAUAAUCCAGGCUAGCCUGGAAUUUACAAUGUAGCCAAGAAAGACCUUGAACUCCUGAUUCUUUUGCCUCUACCUCUGGACUGCUGGGUUCCCGGCAUGCCGCACCAUGCCCAGUGUAUGCAGUGCUGGGGAUCAAACACAGAACUUAGGGCAGCCGGCAAGCAGUCUGCCAGCUGGGCUGUUUCCUCAGCCCUGCUGCUUCUACUGUGGCCGAAAAUGUUCCCUGGGUUCCAUGAAGUGAAGGUAAAUGUGAAACCAAAAGUCAUUUGUUCCAUGAUUAAUUGUGUCUCAGAUGACGGAACCUAAUGCACCCGGCCAUGAAACUGUUUACCUCACAGACUGGGGGAUGUUUCUGAUAGUGAUAAUAGGUUUGGAAACAACCUGAACUGUCUACUUCUGUCUCGCUGGUUCUCAGGCCUCUUGUGUUAACUGUACCACAUACACGGAGAGACUGAGGAGAGGGUGGGUUUUUGUCUCAUAUUAGAAUAAGCAGAAUGAGUAUUUGUCUAAUGUUACAAAGUAGCUGUGUGAGCUGCCUUUAUGAGUGGGCAGCCUGACGAGAAUCGGGCUCUUAGCUGCAGCUGAGAUGGAGUAGUAGGAAGGACACUGAGUCUACCUUCCUUUUUGUAACAUUUUGGAAAACAAAUUCCAUGGGAAAUAGAACUCCACUACUUUUCUAGAUCAGACAGUUGAGGCGCAUACAGACUGUCUCUUCCAGAGCAGGCAGUCUCUCCCAUUGUGUCAUCACGGCCUCAGCUUGUUGUGUGAACACAAAAUCUACAGCACGGGCUGAAGUUGUCAGCCCGAUUAACAAGGAAGUAAAGAUCUUUGAUAUCCAAUAGAGAUGUAGUUGCCUAAGACUUAAUUUCUCAAAAGAACUUUGGAAAUAAAUGGUUGUUUUAAACUGAUCUGUGAUUUUUAAAUAAUCUUUUCUGAAAGAAUUUGAUGUUUAUUUUAAAUACGUGAAUAUAUGUUUUAACCGUUUUUUAAGGUUUUACAUUUUGUUACAUUCAAAACUUAAGAUGUUUGACUCUAAAAUUGUGAUUCAUGUCAUUUAAACUCUUGAAUAAACCUAUUUAUAAGAAUAAAAGCGUUUUAAAUAGUUA